GGGGGGGGGGGAGAACAGGCUCGAUUGCAUUUGAUGCGCGGUUGUAUUCUAAAUGACUGUAUUUUUGUUGUAUGUGUAGACAGUGUAAUGGGUCUCUGCUGUAAUGCCAUAUUGUUCGAUGCAAAUGCAUGGAUUCGUGGGCAAUGAUUCAUGUUA